GGGCUUGACAUCCCACGAACCUGCCUGAAAGGGUGGGGUGCCCGCAAGGGAGCGUGGAGACAGGUGGUGCAUGGCUGUCGUCAGCUCGUGUCGUGAGAUGUUGGGUUGAGUCCCGCAACGAGCGCAACCCUCACCCCUAGUUGCGACCGGGUUAUGCCGAGCACUCGAGGGGAACUGCCAGCGUCAAGCUGGAGGAAGGCGGGGAUGACGUCAAGUCAUCAUGCCCCUUACGCCCUGGGCUACACACGUGCUACGAUGGCCAGUACAAAGGGAUGCGAGACUGCGAAGUGGAGCUAAUCCCAAAAAGCUGGUCUAAGUUCAGAUUGCAGUCCGCAACUCGACUGCAUGAAGGAGGAAUCGCUAGCAAUCGCGCAUCAGCACGGCGCGGUGAAUACGUUCCCGGGCCUUGUACACACCGCCCGUCACACCACGAAAGCUGUCUGUACUCGAAGUCGCUGAG
rnacentral:rRNA from 1 species